rnacentral:tRNA from 1 species
GCGGGAGUAGCUCAACUGGUUAGAGCGCCGCCCUGUCACGGCGGAGGUUGCGAGUUCAAGUCUCGUCUCUCGCGCCA